GUUCUGGUGGCUCAAUGGUUAAGCGCUCAGCUGCUAACUGAAAGGUUGAUGGUUCAAAUCCACCCAGUGGCU
rnacentral:tRNA from 1 species